GUAUGGAGCAAGCGUUAUCCGGAUUUAUUGGGUUUAAAGGGAGCGUAGAUGGAUGUUUAAGUCAGUUGUGAAAGUUUGCGGCUCAACCGUAAAAUUGCAGUUGAUACUGGAUAUCUUGAGUGCAGUUGAGGCAGGCGGAAUUCGUGGUGUAGCGGUGAAAUGCUUAGAUAUCACGAAGAACUCCGAUUGCGAAGGCAGCUCACUGGAGUGUAACUGACGCUGAUGCUCGAAAGUGUGGGUAUCAAACAGGAUUAGAUACCCUGGUAGUCCACACAGUAAACGAUGAAUACUCGCUGUUUGCGAUAUACAGUAAGCGGCCAAGCGAAAGCAUUAAGUAUUCCACCUGGGGAGU
rnacentral:rRNA from 1 species